GGACCCGCACAAGCGGUGGAGUAUGUGGUUUAAUUCGAUGCAACACGAAGAACCUUACCAGGGUUUGAAAUCAUUUCAAAACUCCUUGAAAGAGGAGCCUCCUUCGGGAUGAAAUGACAGGUGGUGCAUGGCUGUCGUCAGCUCGUGUUGUGAAAUGUCGAGUUAAGUCUCGUAACGAGCGCAACCCAUGUCUCUUGUUGCUCACUGAGUGCUUAAGAGAGACUGCCGACCAACAUCGGAGGAAGGUGUGGAUGAUGUCAAGUCAGCAUGCCCCUUACAUCCUGGGCUACACACGUACUACAAUGGUAAGGACAAUGAGCUGCGAUCCUGCGAAGGCUAGCCAA
rnacentral:rRNA from 1 species